UGGGGACAGGGUUGUCCCUGAGAGGAGGCAGAGUCCCAGACCUGAGAAUUCAGGGGCAGGAGGAAGCGGAGGCAACAGCAUCAGCAGCUUCUGGUGCAGAGAAUGAAGACCCGGCACCUCUGCGGAUGCAGAAAUGGAGUGGAGGGCACCUGGGACCGAAGUGGGAGCACUCAGGCCCCACACCGAUGUCCCCUUCUGGGAGGGGGCCCAUCAGUCAGCAGGACUCCUGGCCCCCCUGCCCUCCCUUCUUCCUGGGAGUCUCUGAGGCUGGAGUUCUGUGAAGGUUCUGGUGAAUUUUCAGCGUGGAUGAGGCAUGGUCAGAAGAGUAGGCACCCUUUGAAACUCUUGCCCUCACCCAUGACUGUUUGACUUCUCAUGUGAGCAGAAAGGAGAUGUUUUGGGUCAAAUUCAACUCACCAUCUUCUCUUCAGACCUCAUCGGUCUUGCCAGGACCUCAGAUUCACUGUCUUGCUGCUGACUUCGUGAAGACAUUUUUAUUUUGCAGAAGGACACAAGGAGAGACUCUGCAUUGGGAGUGUGCAUGGCAGGAAGAAGGUCCAUAGAAGGAGAGGGGUCUGCAUCUCACAAACCUCUUAGAUUCCACAGGUGGGAUGUGAAAGUCCCCAUGAAAGAAGCUGAAACACCAGCUGCAGUUGAAGAGCUUUCCUUCAUCCCCACAGAUCUUGCAUUUCUCUGCUUUUUUCAGCUAGAAGAUAAAACAAUGUCUGUAUCCCCACUGAGACCUUGAAGACCAACACUGUGGGAAUCUGGAACUCAUUGAUUUUGUGGGAACCUUCAUGGACAAGUUACGUGCUUCUCCCUGAGCUGUGAACCAAUUGCAUGGAGUGGAGAUUCAGAAAAAGAACUCUUGGUCUGUGGUGAAGUUCAGGAGGAGUGGCCUAUGUGAACAGAAAAGGUUUUCCUAUAAAACCAGAGUCUCUAACACAGAAAGAUCAGCUACAAAAGAGAGGAUGAAUUUUACAGAAAUGUGAACCAUUGUAUUACCUUGCAAAUAAAACAAGGUCCUGGAACAAAAA